AAGAAGAAGAAGAAGAAGAAGAAGAAGAAGAAGAAGAAGAAGAAGAAACAAAAUGUAUACAUUAAAGAGAGAAACAAAUAAGAAAAACAAAAAGCCGAGCACAGCAACACAUGCCUGUAAUCCCAGAGGCUGGGAGGCUGAGACAGGAGGAUCACAAGUUCAAAGCCAGCCUCAGCAAUGGUAAGGCACUAAGCAACUCAGUGAGACCCUGUCUCUAAAUAAAACACAAAAUAGGGCUGGGGAUGUGGCUCAGUGGUCAAGUGCCCCUGAGUUCAAUCCCCAGUACCCCCAAAAAAUAAAGAGAGAGAAAGAAAAACAAACAAAAAUAAACAAAUAAAUAAAUAGAAAUAUAUAGACAUUGUGGAAUAGUUAAGUGGAGAUGAUUAACAUAUGCAAAUUAACAUGUAUCCUAAUCUCACAUUCUUAUGUUUUUUAUACUGAAAACACUCAAAAUCUACUCUCAAUAAUUUUCAAGGGUAUAAUAUAUUGUUAUUCACUAUAAUUUCCGUAUUGUACAAUAAAUCUUUUGAAUUUAUUCCUUCAAUUUAACAGAUUCUGUAUCCUUUGACCAAUAUCGCCCCUACUCUACCCCCAGCCUCUGGUAACCACCAUUCUAGCCUCUGCUUCUACCAGUUCAAUGUUUUUAGAUUCCACAUGUAAGUGAGAUCAUGAGGUAUUUGUCUUUCUGUGCCUGGUUUAUUUCAUGUAACAUAAUGUCUUCCAAGUACAAUUAAGUUCUUUUGUUACCACUUGCAUUCCAUCCUCUGAUCACUGGCAUCCAGGUUGAUUUGUUUUUCAAUUUCAUACAAUAAUAUUCACUCUUGUUAAUGUAUACUUCUAUGGAUUUUGACAAUCUUAGAGUAAUGUAUACACCAUAACCUUGUGCGGUCCAUUAUGUCCUCAACCUCCCUUUUCUCCCCCAACCCCUUGUAACCAUUGUUCUGUUUUCAGUCCUAUUCUAGAAUGAAAAAUAACUCCACAAAAGACAUCCAUGUUCAACUCUCAGAAACCAGUGAAUGCUACCCUAUAUGGUAAAGGGAGUUUACAGAUGUGAUUAUAUUAAGAAUCUUGAGAAGAUGUUAUCCUGGAUUAUUAAGGUGACCCCCUAAAUGUAAGAACAAGGAUCCUUAAAAGAGGGCAGCAAGAAGAUCAAAGAAAGUAGCAGGAGAUGUGAGAGUAAAAACAAGAAGUUGGAGUGAUGUAAGGAAGGAGUCAAAAACUAAGGAAUGCACAUGACCUCCAAAAACUAAAAAGGCAAAGAAAAGACCCCCCCCCCACAGCCUCCAGAAAGAGCCAGCUCUGCCAACACCUUGAUUUUAGCCUAGUGAAACUAAUCUUGGACUUCUGGCCUCCAGAACAAUAAGGGAAUAAAUUUGUGUUGAUGUAAGCCACUA
rnacentral:lncRNA from 1 species